CUCCUGUCCAAGGAACUGGUAGGAGUCCUGUUCCGGGCUAUGGCCCUAACAUCAAUCCCUUCUUAAUAAAAUACAUCUCAAGUGAUGAAGAGUCUGCAGACCCCUGUGGAGACUGUUCUGGAUAUAACUGUGACAUGGAUGUAUCAUUUUUAAGAUAUAUCUCAAGUGAUGAGGAAUCUACAGAUGUCUUUGGCAGUGAUCUGUACCCUACAAAGUGUAUUUGCAGCAUACUUACUGAUGAUGAUAACGAUGAUGCUCUGAAGCCAUCAUAGAGGCCCUUUUGUCUGCCCUGUGAAUUAAAAACAGGGUGAGCACCCAGAAAGUUACAGACAGAUGCAGGGAAAGAGUUCUUAAAUAAGCCUCUGAAGAAGCUUUUAACACGUUAUGGCAUACACCAUUUUGUCACACAUAGUGAGAGUAAAGUGGCUGUUAUAGAGAGGUUUAAUCGCACUCUGAAAAAUAAACUCUGGAGAUAUUUUACAGCUAAAAAUACAGUUAUGUAGAUAUUUUAUCACCUCUCCUUCAGGGCUACAAUAGCACUUACCAUCGCAGCAUCCAGGCUGCUCCAAAUACCGUAAAUCUAUCUAACAAAAGAGAUGUGUGGACAAGACUGUAUGGAAAAAUCCUAAAAUCUACCAGAAAGUUAAAAAGUCUCAAGGUGGGUGACCACGUUAGGAUAACACCGCCUUUCCCAGUGACAUUGUGAAGUUUUUAGAGCCGCAAGCUAAGAAGUACACAUUUCAUCCACUUCAACUGCAACAUCCCCAGGCAAUAACCUGCAGCCAGCACUGUGUGUUUUUUCUACUUAAGUGUUUUAAAUGGUUACUUUACGAAGAUGUUUUAAAGCUGUACUCUGAAAACGAUGUCAAAAAUGAUCAAAUGGUGAAGCAUUUUGUAGUAAAUAUGAUGCAGGGAAGGAGUCCUGGAACAUGUAGCAGUUAUCAAUGUAUGCAAACAUGUAUGGCCUGUU